GAGAAGAUCCUUCAAAAACUUUGCAUAUGAAGGCAUUUGCUACAGUGCUUCAGAAAAAGGUAUGGUGAUCUCCAGUUUCUUAAAGAUUUCCAUGAACCGCUCAAGCUGUUUUUCUUUUUCCUUCCUUGAAUAAGUCUUUGGAUAAGGAAGGGGUUUUUCAAAAUCUUUUUCUCUUUUUUUCUCAUCUACCUCUUCUUUCUUUUUUACUCCCUCAUCUCUCUUUUUUUUCUUUUUUCUCACUUUCUUCCUCUUCUCUCUUCUUUUUUCGCUCAUUCUCCUCUUCCUCACUAAAAUUUUCUUUCUCCUUUCUCUCGAUGUUUCUCUCAUCUAACACUUUUCCACUUCUAGUAACAAUGGUCUUACAUUCUUCCCUAUGAUCACCUCUUGCAUUCCUCUUAAACCCCUUCAUCUUGUCAACCAUUUUCCUAAUGUGCACCUCCAUCCUUUUGAACGCAGACUCCAUGCUUUUACAAUAAGAUAAGCUCAUUUUCAUGGAUUGCUAGAAAAUUUCUUCAAGCUUUGUGGUCUUCU
rnacentral:lncRNA from 1 species